rnacentral:rRNA from 1 species
AUUGAACGCUGGCGGCAGGCCUAACACAUGCAAGUCGAGCGGCAGCGGGAAAGUAGCUUGCUACUUUUGCCGGCGAGCGGCGGACGGGUGAGUAAUGCCUGGGAAAUUGCCCAGUCGAGGGGGAUAACAGUUGGAAACGACUGCUAAUACCGCAUACGCCCUACGGGGGAAAGCAGGGGACCUUCGGGUCUUGCGCGAUUGGAUAUGCCCAGGUGGGAUUAGCUAGUUGGGGAGGUAAUGGCUCACCAAGGCGACGAUCCCUAGCUGGUCGGGGAGGAUGAUCAGCCACACUGAAACUGGGACACGGUCCAGACUCCUACGGGAGGCAGCAGUGGGGAAUAUUGCACAAUGGGGGAAACCCUGAUGCAGCCAUGCCGCGUGUGUGAAGAAGUCCUUCGGGUUGUAAAGCACUUUCAGCGAGGAGGAAAGGUUGAUGCCUAAUACGUAUCAACUGUGACGUUACUCGCAGAAGAAGCACCGGCUAACUCCGUGCCAGCCGCCGCCGUAAAAC